rnacentral:lncRNA from 1 species
GGCUCCGCCCGGGGAGCNCCCGUCCCCACCCCUUCCCCCUCCAUCCUCCCUUCCCACGCAGCCCAGAGGAGCCCACCGCCACGCUCCCAGCCAGCCCGGAGCCCAACUUCGUUUCAAACAACAACAAAGCCACCAAAAUGGUUUUGUUUGGAGGAAAGUUUAUAAGAAACCCGGCUUGCCAGAUGCACGUUACUGGAGUCUGGAAAUAAAUCAGACUGGGCUGGGAAGAGUGGGAAUUUUAGGGAAAAAAAAACCACCAAAUCCACAAGAAAAUUCCAAGUUCCUCUCUGUGAUCAUCUUACUUCAGAUUCAUUGAGAGCUAUUGCUGUUGACCCUGGAUUAUCUCAGUUGAUCAGAGCAUGGAGCUGAUAACAGCACCGAGGCUGUGAGUUUGAUCCCUGUA